UACGAAGGGGGCUAGCGUUGCUCGGAAUCACUGGGCGUAAAGCGCACGUAGGCGGCUUUUUAAGUCAGGGGUGAAAUCCUGGAGCUCAACUCCAGAACUCGUCUUGAUACUGAGAAGCUUGAGUCCGGGAGAGGUGAGUGGAACUGCGAGUGUAGAGGUGAAAAUUCGUAGAUAUUCGCAAGAACACCAGUGGCGAAGGCGGCUCACUGGCCCGGUACUGACGCUGAGGUGCGAAAACGUGGGGGACAAACAGGG
rnacentral:rRNA from 1 species